rnacentral:lncRNA from 1 species
CCAGCAUUGGUCUCCAGAUGCUCUCAGAGCAAUGGGUUUGGAAGGAAGCUCAAUGUACCAGCUGCUGUCAGUGACGUGUGUCUGGGCUGGGGCUGCUGCUACUGGGCUCCAUGGUACACAAAUGGAUUGAUCCCUGCGUGUGCCAUGGGCGCUGGAGAGAACAACAUGUUCUGCCCUUGGGUUUGAUGAGCUGGUGCUGCUGGCAUGGCCAUGAAACCCCUGCGGUCCUAAUACAUCAAAAAUCUAUCUUUGGAAGCAUGCUCCCCUGCUCAAACAUUUAAAACACCAGGAUUUCAUCACGGGGCAGACUAAGUGCAAGAAUUCUUCCCGGGUGUUGAAGUUCUGCAACCACCACCAGUAAGUGAAAUGAUGCAAGAAACCCCACUCAAGGGAGAUGCUUGUUAUGGUAAAGAACAAAAAAGCUCACAGAGAGGCAGUCCCCUGGCAGAAUGUGAUCUCUAAAUGGUUUUCCCUCCCUCCCAUUUAAAAUGCAAGAAGCAAGCAGACGCAGGGAG